UGGGGAAUAUUGCACAAUGGGCGCAAGCCUGAUGCAGCCAUGCCGCGUGUGUGAAGAAGGCCUUCGGGUUGUAAAGCACUUUCAGCGAGGAGGAAGGUGGUGAACUUAAUACGUUCAUCAAUUGACGUUACUCGCAGAAGAAGCACCGGCUAACUCCGUGCCAGCAGCCGCGGUAAUACGGAGGGUGCAAGCGUUAAUCGGAAUUACUGGGCGUAAAGCGCACGCAGGCGGUUUGUUAAGUCAGAUGUGAAAUCCCCCGGGCUCAACCUGGGAACUGCAUUUGAAACUGGCAAGCUAGAGUCUCGUAGAGGGGGGUAGAAUUCCAGGUGUAGCGGUGAAAUGCGUAGAGAUCUGGAGGAAUACCGGUGGCCGAAGGCGGCCCCCUGGACGAAGACUGACGCUCAGGU
rnacentral:rRNA from 1 species